AAGUCAAAAAUAAAACAACUUUCUGUCCUCUGGUGAGGUUCAGGACAAGAAAGACAUUGGUGAGAUUAGGUCAAGAUUGCCUUUACUGUCUAUCCUAGGCUUUGCCAGGAGAACCUAUGACAUUAACCUACUAACUCUUCCCGAUGCAGAAGGCAAUCCUUGUCUCUGCCAUUCCCUCUGGAACCUAGUAUUAGGAAUAAAUACCCAAGGAGUUCUUGAGGACUGGCUGUGGGAACCAUUGAGGGAAGCAUGCCUUCACUGUAUAUACUCUGUAGCCGCGGUUGCACAGUCCCUACUGCCCCUCCCCUACUUCAGUGCUGGCAGCUCACUGUGAUGUGGCCGUCACCAUAAACAGGCGCGCUGCUUCACUUCUCUGUGCUGGUCACGUUGGCAUAUUUAGCCAUGUGGUGUGGUCAUUGCUUAGUGGUUUGAGAUGACUAAGUUUUUUUUUUUUUUUCAAAUGAAAUGGGUGUUUCAUAUUGUAUUUCAUCAGAAAACAGUGGCAAUUGUGAAGACCAUUUAGAUAGUCACUGUAUCCUCCCACAAAACCUAAUUCUGUAUAUUUUCUUCAAAAUUGUUAAAAUUCCUAAGCAUGGUUUUUUAAGUUUUGUUUUGUUUUUUUGGUUGGUUGGUUGAUUUGUCUUUGUGUAAUAGAAGUUGGGCUUUUAUUAAAUUGUGAGCCUGGACUUCCUUAAGAAUCUCAUGGUGGCGUAUAGCACAGUUUUGAACUAUGGCUAAGGAUGUUGAGAACGUCUUUUUCCCUUUCUUUGCUUCUGGAACUGGGUCUCACUAUACAGACCUGGCCAGGACAAAGAUCAAGUUGCUCUUGAACCUGCAAGGGUUCUUUCUGACCUCUGGCUGUGCCACUCUUAGUUUCUCUGGUGCUGGGAUUGAACCAGGCCUUUUUGUGUGUCUGGUAAACACCAUCAACAUUCCCUCCCAUCCUAGACCUUGGGGUUUUUUCCGUAGGGAAUCAUCAUUUGUGUUUGUUUUCAGCUCUACAAAAUCUUAGCAUGCUGCCAAAUCCUUUUCUGAACCUUCUGGUUCAGGUGAUCUCUUAUUGAUUGCUAGGGUAUAGACACAGGGCUCCCUGCCCAGCUAAUGUACAUUUGUAUUAGCCCAGCUCUUUUCUCAGAUAAUCAGUUUGUUCAAAAUAUGUGUUACUCAUAAAUCUCACAUUGACCCUGAGACCCCAGUGAUCAAAAUUACCUUGUGGCAGUCUGUAAUGUUUCCAGCUUCAAAAUUACAAGGUUAAUAAUUUAUUUAUUCCUUUUCUACAUUCAGAUUUCCUUAUGAUUAAAAAUCUUCUGUACUCCUGUAUGUACACCCUGGCUCCACCACCCAGAUCAUCCCAUAUGCAAAUAUAUCUGAUUAGUUCCAGUUUUCCAUUUCUCUGCCUUCCUUUUGCCUCAGCACCUUGGCUUAUCUUUUUCAACCAUGUGUCAUAAAGUCUAACACCAUGCUUGGCUCAAGUGUGUGUGAUCCCAACUGCUUGAGGGACUGAGACAGGAUGAUAGAAAGAAAAGGAACACCAGCAGGGCGCAGAGCUGCCUGCCAUAGAGUUCAUGAAAGAGUGGUGCUUGCCAACCUUGCUGGAAGCAAUCCCUAGUACUGCAGAAAGGACCAAGGAUGUGUAUGCAGAACUUUUCAAUUAGGAGUAAGUACAACUUAAGUUUCAUAUUCCCAUUCUUUUGGCCUUUUCCAUCUCCAGCUGCUAAAAUUGAAACCUGCAAGGCAGUUUUAGUCACUGGAUCUUAUAUGCAGACAGAGUUUCUUUUCCUUCUCCUCAUUUUCAACAAUCUCAUUCUGUUGAUGGGAGCCUGUUUCCUAAGGUAAAUUAACUCUAGAAGUUCUUCAGCUGUACUCGUCCCUUAAUAAUGGCCCUGAUGUACUGCAAGUAGGAUCCUGUCUCCAACCCCAGCUCAGACAGUACAGCCCCACAUCCUUACACAUAAUCUAGUUUCAAACAUAAGUCCUUGGUGAUGAGCUACCAGAAUCCCUGGUGAGGAAGUCAUGGGGAUUAAUAGUUCUUGUCUGCCCUCUUCUAAUUUUAACUGAAAAUAGGUGAUCUUUUGACAAUAAAUAGGACAUG
rnacentral:lncRNA from 1 species